GAUGAACGCUGGCGGCGUGCCUAAUACAUGCAAGUCGAGCGAACGGACGAGAAGCUUGCUUCUCUGCUGUUAGCGGCGGACGGGUGAGUAACACGUGGAUAACCUACCUAUAAGACUGGGAUAACUUCGGGAAACCGGAGCUAAUACCGGAUAAUAUUUUGAACCGCAUGGUUCAAAAGUGAAAGACGGUCUUGCUGUCACUUAUAGAUGGAUCCGUGCUGCAUUAGCUAGUUGGUAAGGUAACGGCUUACCAAGGCAACGAUGCAUAGCCGACCUGAGAGGGUGAUCGGCCACACUGGAACUGAGACACGGUCCAGACUCCUACGGUAGGCAGCAGUAGGGAAUCUACCGCAAGGGGCUAAAGCCUGACGGAGCAACGCCGCGUGAGGGAUGAAGGUCUUCGGAUCGUAAAACUCUGUUAUUAGGGAAGAAAAUAUGUGUAAGUAACUGGGCACAUCUUGACGGUACCUAAUCAGAAAGCCACGGCUAACUACGUG
rnacentral:rRNA from 1 species